rnacentral:rRNA from 1 species
UACGUAGGGGGCAAGCGUUGUCCGGAAUCAUUGGGCGUAAAGAGCGUGUAGGCGGCUCGGUAAGUCCGCUGUGAAAGUCCAGGGCUCAACCCUGGAAUGCCGGUGGAAACUGUCGAGCUAGAGUCCGGAAGAGGCGAGUGGAAUUCCUGGUGUAGCGGUGAAAUGCGCAGAUAUCAGGAAGAACACCCGUGGCGAAAGCAGCUCUCUGGAACGGUACUGACGCUGAGACGCGAAAGCGUGGGGAGCGAACAGG